CUUAUAUUCACAACUAAUUUCUAUUAAACACGUCAAUUUUUCUAUUUUUCCUAAUAUAAUUGACUCAAGAUUGUUGAAAUUUUCUCUUUAUUGGAGAUGACUUUGAGUGUUAGUAAUAUUUAUAUUUCACAUAUGUGAAAUAAGUUCAUUUCAUAUACAAAUUCUAGGGCUUGUAUAAAGGAUCAAAUUUGAUACAACUCUAAUAUAUGUUCAAUUUUUUUUUAUCACUAUUGUUACACCAGCCAAAUUCCGAAGAUAAAUCAAGUCUCUCCACCGGAGAUGAGAACGAUAGACGGCGGUAUUAUUCCUAUUUCCCGCAGCUUUAAAGGUGAGAUUUUGAAUUGAUCAGAUAUGAAGGAUUCUAUCAACAACCCUAAAAGGGUAAGCUUUUGGAUUUGAACCUUAAAAGGUAAUUCAAAUUCAUUGAAAUUGCUAGAUAUGAAGGGUUCUGUCAACAACCCUAAAAGGGUAAGCUUUUUGGAUUUGAACCUUAAAAGGUAAUUCUAAGUAGCCCAUGCUAUUUACAUAUUACUAUUAUUGUUAUGUAAAAUGUAUUAAGAGCCUUGAUUGUAUUUUAUUAGUUGUUAUUGAAGAAUUGGGGGAAUUGGGGCUUUUACUAAUACCACCUUUACGACAUUUUCUCUCUAUCAGUGACCAGUUAUAUAGCCUCCCGGAAAGUGGUGAAUUGUUUUUUUAUCAGGGGUUUGAAACCAUCGGCAACAGCAUUCAAAAUACUGUUGUUCAAACCUUAUGCCUUGAGGAUCCAUUACUUUGAUUUGGGUAAUGGGAUAAUGAAAUUGAUCUCAAUUAGCAAGGGAGCAUAAGAAAUCCUUUUAAGCUUAGUUGUACAAUCAGCAACACAUAUAGGUGUUCGUAGCACACUAGCAAUCCUGCUUAGGGACUUAGGACCCCAACAACUAAAUAGAAGAUUGAGGAACGUCACUAUAGACGGAUAACUUUCAAUACCUCAUCCUUAGAAUUGAAACUGGCUACCCAAGGUUUAACAGCAGACUUAGACUUAGUAUUGAUCAUGUGAGGGCCAAAACUAAGUAUCUCUAUCUUUUAUUGAUUGGAAUUCACAAUAUAAUAACCCUCAUUGUGAUAAUAGACUCUAGCUUUUUGAGUGAAUUUACCGUUGCUUUCAAGGAAUCUAGCUACAAUUGUUAUAGUUGGGGAAUCCCAAAUAAUAUAUAGGUACAAUGGCAAAGGGUUCAUGUCAGCCGAAAUAUUAAUUCCCUUCAACACUUGAUACAUCUUAUUUGUACAUUCAUUGACCCAAUUCUUUUUCUUUACCUUAUGUAAUUGUUUCUCCAAUUUCUCAGUCCUUAGCUUCGUCAACUCUUCUCCCGUCAUCAUGUGUUUUGAUUGAUCUAACACCGAAAGUUACUAAACCUUUUACAGGUAUUGAAUGCAUUAGCAUAAUUUAAAAACAAAUCAGGUUGGUUUUGCUAAGGACUAUAGACAAUUAUAGUCAUUUUAACACCACAAAGCGUAGUGAGUUCAUAAGCCUUUUUAAAUAACCCUUUCAAUCUUAACUUGCAAGAGACUUUCCUCUUGGCCUUAUUUUCAAUCAAAGCAAAGUUCACUUUGGUUCUGGGCAUGGCUAAAGAUGAGGAAUAGUAGAAGAUAUGUGUUUGUUUGGAUAUUCAAGAUCAAAUAACUUUGUUGUGGUGAGUUUCUUUGUCUUGGAUUGAUUUUUAUUGAUAGACGGAAUUUAGAUUGUGUAAAUCUCUGAAUAGUUUGAAUUAAAAGAUAUUUAGGUGCCACCCAUAACUAUUAUGACAUAAAACUAAUUAAUGGUGCAUCAUAUACCAAAUUAGAUGAUAUGUUUUUGAUAAAUAUGCAGUCUAUGGCUUCGGUCUUAUCCAGACCAAUUUCUUAGUCAGACUUUUCUUAUUAAGAAAAUAAUUUAAUAAUUUAAGAAAACUUUUCUUAUCCUGAACAAAUAUUGAAUAUUUUCUUAAUAAGAAAAGUUUGACUAAAAAAUUGGUCAGGAGAAGACGAAGCCAUAAACUGCAUAUUUUUCAAAAUGAUAUAUCUAAUUUGGUAUAUGAUGCCCCAUUAAUUAGUUUUAUGCCAUAAUAGGUAUGGACGACACCUAAAUAUCUUCUAAUUCAAACUAUUCAAAAAUUUACACAAUCUAAAUUCCGUCUAUAAAUAGAAGUCAAUCCUAGACAAAGAAACUCACUAAAUAAAGCCAUUCAAUCUCGAAUAUCCAAACAAACACAUAUCUCCUACUAUUCCUCAUCUUUAGCCAUGCCUAGAACAAAAGUGAAGUUUGCUUUGAUUGAAAAUGAGGCUAAGAGGAAAGCCUCUUACAAGCAAAGAUUGAAAGGGUUAUUUAAAAUGGCUUAUGAACUCACUACACUUUGUGGUGUUGAAAUGGCUAUAACCGUCUAUAGUCCUUACCAGAUUCAACCUAUUUUGUUUCCAAAUAAUGCUAACGCAUUCAAUACCUUUAAAAGGUUUAGUGAGCUUUCGGUGUUAGAUCAAUCAAAACACAUGAUGACGGGAGAAGAGUUCACGAAGCAAAGGACUGAGAAGUUGGAGAAACAAUUACAUAAGGUAAGGAAAGAAAACAGGGUAAAUGAGUGCACAAAUAAGAUGUAUCGAGCGUUGAAGGAAAUUGAUAUUCCUGCUGACAUGAACCCUUACGAUCUGAACGAUUUGAGUUUCGUUAUAAAACAAAACCUCAAACAGGUAUGUGAAAUGAUGAAAGCGAAGAUUGACGGAGAGGGUUCCACAUUAAAUGCCCGUCAACCUAUGGUACCUCAUGGGACCAACUCUGAGGAGCCAAGGGCUCAUUUGCUAGAAAAAAUUAGGGCUCCAGUAUCAAUAGUUCCUUUGGUGGCUCCAUCAACUGCUAUUGGUGCAGCCAACUUCGAAGGGCUUAGUACUGAUAUGUUGGUCCCUGUUGUUGAUCCAAUAUCGAUGGUUCCUCCGGCGGAUCCAUCGAUGGUUCCUCCGGCGGAUCCAUCGAUGGUUCCUCCGGCGGAUCCAUCGAUGGUUCCUCAAGCGGAUCCAUUGAUGGUUCUUCAAGCGGAUCCAUUGAUGGUUCCUUCAUCCGCUCCUGCUCAAAUGCCCAAACCAUUGAGUAAUCUGAUGGAUCCUCUCGUAAAAUCUUCAAGGUCUUCUCCUCCUCCUUUUUCUCCAUUUUCUUUAGAAAAUUUCCCUGAAAUGUUUGUACAAUCGUAUCCUCCAUUACCUCAAGAAAUGGCUUUUAGAAGGGCUCCUAGAAUGGCUCCUCCAACAAAAAUGGCUUCUCCAAUACCUUCAACAAUAAUUACUCCUCCAAUGGCUUGCUCGGAGCCAUCGACGGCUUCUUCAUCCGCUCCCGUUCAGAUGCUCGAACCAAGGACUCCUCAACCGGUUCCUUUUGUAGACCCUUCGAGGUUUCCUCCGCUUCCUCUCUCUCCAUUUUCUUUAGACAUGUUUCCUCCAAUGUUUCCCCAAUUGUAUCCUCCAUAACCUCAAGAAAUGGUUUUUAGAAGGGCUCAUGAAAUGCCCCCUCCAAUGCAUCCAACAACAAUGGCUUUUCCAAUACUUUCACCAAUAAUGGCUUCGCUGGUUUUCGAGAGUCCAACAUUAUCUGAUGCUGGUCGGAAAUUAUGAUGAUGAUGUAAUGCUUUAAUUAAUGAUCCAAACCACCACAACAAUUUAUAAGGAUCUAGGACUAAUAUGUCUCUUUUAAUUAGCAUUGUUUUGUAGGUUCGUGUUGUCCUGUGGACUAUUUGUGUUAUUUGCUGUUUUCCAUGUUUAAGUUGUGUUAUAGGACUCUUCAUAUCUCUUUCCAUGUGUCCUCAUUUGAAGUGUCUAUUGUUGUUUUCUUUUUCUUGUUCAAAGUGUGGUAUCAUUCACUUAUUAAAUCUGUAUUCAGUUUUUUUUAAUGUUUACUAGAUACUCGUAUGUUUAUUUGUUCCUUUAUUACUAUUAUUGAAAAUGUUAUUGUUAGUAUGGUUUUCAAAAAUGACCUCUUCCACUUCAAAAAUCUAUCAUCAGUGUACAUAUCGGGUAAAUAUUCAUGCUCAAAAUUUCCUUUUUAAACCAAUACAGCAACAUAAACAUACCCAACAUAGUUCCACUAAGUGGGAAAGUGUAAAAUCAUAACACAUCUAAAGUUGAGAAUGAAUUAGAAAGUAAAGAAGAUUAUUGUAAAGACCUAUUAUACAUCCAUGUAAUGGAAAAAUAAAGUCUAAAAUAGUGUCUGUUUUAAAAAAUCAAGAUAUAAUUAAUUAUUUGUUUCUUCUUGUAAAGAAAUGGAUCUUGGGCCUAAUCCAAAAGCUAGCUCUUAAGGGAGGAUUAUUCAAGUCUAUAUAAGGAAACCGCCAUUUCUUUUUCAUCCGAUUUGGGACUUGAGCAAUUAAAUCUAGGGACCCAUCAUAGGUAAACAAUAAUAAGGAUGGUUCCUGCUCUAGUACCAUGUAAGAAAUGGAUCAUGGGUGUAACUCAACCUAAGAAAUGAGCUCUUGAGGGAAUAUUGCCCAAGUUUAUAUAAGGAAACCACCCAUCCGUUUUUCAUCCGAUUUGGGACUCUUUAAUACCCGGUUCACACCCAAGACUAGACAUCCGAUUAUCUGUAGUAUCUAUGAUUAGUUUCCUUCAAUAUAUAUAUUGGGUUGGUACUAAUAUUAGUUUUACAAAAACAAUAAUAAUUACUAUGUUCCAGUUUCGAAUUAGUGGGUAGUCAUCCAUAUGAGUCUUCACUUCUUCAUUCAAGCUCAUUUGUAUCCUCAUCAUAUAAAAUAAACUAAAAUAAAAUAGAAGUAAAAAAUAAGUUGGAUAGUUAUAGCAAUUCUCUAACAAGUUUUUUGUAGCCGACUUUUUGCCUGUAAGAACACCCUCUUCACUUCCUCAUCCUCUGGAAUUUCUUGUAUUAACAUUUCACAAUCUUGAAUAGCUGCUUUCCAUCUUCCCAACUGCAUAUAUCAACCAAAACUUUAUGAUAUAUACCUUGUGUGAUCACAUCAUCUAAAAUCUUAAGCGAUUAGUGAGGGUUGGCACACUUCUAUUUACCUAAUUAAUUAUGUCUUCAACAAAUUACCUUGAUGUUGCAGUCAGCUCUCCGCAAUCUAGCCUUUGUAUAGGAAGGACGCAGUACAAGAGCUGCAGUGCAAUCUUCCACAGCUUUUUCGAAUUGUCCUAGCUUGAAUCGACAUGCUGCUCUGUUAAACAGUAGAAUAGAAUUGUAUGGCUCUUGUUCUAGUCCUUCAGUGUACUCGAAAGAAGCCUCUGAGAAUUUAUUUUCUCUGAACAACUCGUUACCUUUUAACCGAAAUGAUGCCAACGCUUCAAUUCUCCUUAGAAUUGUGAUAAUUACUUCAUUGCUUUGAUCCAAUUUUGUUGCUUCUUGAGCUGCAGCUGUAGCCUCCUCAAACCAGCCAACUGUUGCAUAGGCCUCAGCUCGAGUGAUCAAUAAAUAAGCUGUUUUUACUGAACCAAAAAGGCAAGCACAUAGCUCUGUUUUGAUAUGAGCUACUUUCUGAAUUGUGGUGUAUGCUUCCUCGUGUCUAUGCAACUUUAUUAAUGCUUCAGCCCUCAUGGCAAAGAUCUUCAUUUGAAAUCAAGUCAAAGGAAUAAAAAAAUAAGAAUCUUUAAACAUCGAAUUUUCUUUAUAAUAAUUUGUACAUUAGGGAUGGACUAUAGGCCUCAUUUUCCCCCAUUAAGAUUACAACAUGUGAAUCUAUAUGCACAUCUAAAUGAUUAGGAUGUUGUCUUUAGAUUUGAAUACGGAAGGAUUAAUAUCGUGUUUUUCGACAUGUGAAUGAACAUAUUAUAUUUAUUUGUAAACAUAAUAAAUAGACAAUAAAUCAAUUAGUAUAUUUUUAAAAAAUUAAUUUAAUUAUUUUUUUUUAUCUGAUUAAAAAAUGAAAUAUUUAUGUUAGCUAAUGAUGAUGGUAACGGUCUGUGGUGGUUGUGAUAGUGGCAAUAAUAUCUUCACUAAAUAUUUAUGUACGCUCUUGUUCUAGUCCUUUAGUGACUAUGAAUGGUGGUGGUGAUAGUUAUUAUGGUGGUCAUUGGUAGUGGUGGUUGUGAUGGUGAAGAUGGUUGAUGGUGCCAAUGAUGGCGGCUAAAGAAUGUAUUGGUGGUAGUUAACGGCGGUGCUAGUUGUUAUGCUUGGUUAUAAGAAUUGACCGUCAUGGUGGUAGUGGCUGUUAGUUGUGGUGGAGUUAGCGGCAACAAUGGCACUAAUGGUUGUGGUUGUGGUAGGUGGUAGGUGUGCUAGUUGUGAUGGUGGAGUUGGUUGGUAGUAGGAGUUAGUCGCAGUGGUGGUGGGAUAGAUAUAAUUGUAGUAAUGGAGGUGACAGGUGUGGUAUUGGCUGACAAUAGUGGUGAUGGUGAUGACAGAGGUGGUUGGUAGUUGAUGACGAUAAUGGUAGUUUACAAUGGUGGUGGUGGUUGUGAUGGCAAAGGCGGUUAGUGAUAGUGAAGACUUUGUUCAAGAUCUUAAUGAUUAAGACCUAUACAAACCAAUUAGGUGCUUAAAUCUUAAUGAAAACAAAUACGCUUAAUGGCCUAAUAUCUGAACCAUAUACAUUAAGACCUCCACCAAGUACUAAAGAAUGAGGCUUAGUUGUAGUGAAACCUGUGGAGCUGAAUCUACUCCUAAGGUGAUAGAAUUUUGUGUUUCCUUUAUCAAUGUAUUGUAAUCUCUCAGCUUCUGUGCUUCUGUGCAUUUUAAGAGCUGUCUCUUAAUAUCAUGAGCCUCUGCAAUGUCCUUCUUGUCAACUUUUCGCCCUGAUUGUUUGUAAUGAUCUAUCGCUUUCUCUGCAUCUCCCAGCCUGUCGAAAUGAAAAAAGAAAUUGACUACAUCAACCAAAUUCAGACAAAAUCAUCUAAAGAAAAAUAAUUGACGAUUCAAAAAGACUAACCUAACGUAUAGUCUUGCAAGACGAUAAUGUGCAUUGUGAUAAGAAGGGUCUAGCUGGAUAGCCUCUAUACAUGCAACAACUGCCUCAAUCACGCGGCCUAAACUCAUCAAAGCUGCAGCCUUGUUGCUAUAGUAACUAGCAUUUCCUGGAUCAAUUGCAAUUGCUUGAUUGUACAGAUCCAAUGCCUUCUCAAUUUUCCCCUGUCUAUACUGCUCAUUGCCUAUGGACUUGAGCACAUCAGGGUCCCGUUUUUUUGCAGAACCGCGAAACGAACUACCUGGUUGAUGGCUUUUUACAGAACUAGUUUGCCUUACUAUGUUAUCCUUCAAGAUUUUGCCUUUCUUCUGGAUAGCCUUUUUGUCACUUGAGGAAUUUUGGUUCUUCAAGUUUCCCAAGUGGCUUAGUAGUGUAACAUUGCUUGUUGAACUGCGAUUCAAUGUUCCAUUCACCUUGGAUUUUCGAUGACUAAAGAUUGUCAUGCUCAAUUCACUUGAGGUGAAUGUUGGUUCUCUUCUAAGCUUUUGUGUGUAUGCCAAGUUCACAACUUGUGACACUCUGUUCUUACUAGAAGUCGAAUUUUUCGGACAAGAGCUGGUGUGACAUCUUCUUGAAUUCUUGACAAAAUUGGUGUCACUGGACUUAGUUGUAAUGUUGAUUUUUGUGUUAGUAUUUCUUCUAGGAAAAAAAGCACCUAUUAAACAACCACCUAAUCCAUUUAGUAAUGAAUUAUCUGCAAUUUUUGACAUAGUUGAUUGAGAUUGACCAUUUUUUCUAGUUUUUUCCAUCUCAGUAGUUUCUUAACAGGUCUCUCAACUAAUCACUAAAAAGAAAUAAAAUAGGACACUUUAUAUAUGAUAAAAAAGAAGGGUCAACUGAAAAAAAAAUUCAAAUAUAUAAAAACAAAGAAAUCAAAGAUAUUUUCUUAAUGAUAAGCCUGUUUUAUUUAUUUAUUAUUAUUUUUCAUAUAAGAUGAGUGAAUAUAUUCUAGAGUGGAUGUAUUUUCUUUAAUAUUUUACGCGCAUGGAUUUUACAGAUAUCUAUUUUUAGCAUGAUGUGAUAUUAUUUGCUAAGAGCUAUACAUUUGGUUUUUCAAAAGCAACACUAUUGAGAGUAUUGAUAGUAUUCAUGAGUAUACGCGUACUGCAGGGCCCCAUUCAGGGGUAACACUCUUAACAGAUUUUCUCCAUAUUCAAAGUCGGAUUCGAGACCUUUAAGGGUGGAGUAGUCUCACAACCGCACCACAACCAAUGUCGGUUCGACAUGUAUUACUCUCUUUUGUUGUACUUGUUUUGUAUUUUACUGAUUUAUUUUUAUUACAUUGGGUAUAAACAUAAUUUUACAACA